rnacentral:rRNA from 1 species
AUACGGAAGGUCCGGGCGUUAUCCGGAUUUAUUGGGUUUAAAGGGAGCGCAGGCGGAGAUGCAAGCGUGACGUCAAAUUUCGGGGCUCAACCCCGUCUCGCGUCGCGAACUGCGUCCCUUGGUUGCGGGAAGGGGAGGCGGAACUCGUGGUGUAGCGGUGAAAUGCAUAGAUAUCACGAAGAACUCCGAUCGCGAAGGCAGCCUUCCGGCCCGUCAACGACGCUCAUGCUCGAAGGUGCGGGUAUCAAACAGGAUUAGAUACCCUGGUAGUCCGCUCAGUAAACGAUGGACACCCGCGGUUUGGCCUGUAUGGCUGAGCCGCCAAGCGAAAGCGUUAAGUGUCCCACCUGGGGAGUACGCCGGCAACGGUGAAACUCAAAUGAAUUGACGGGG